rnacentral:rRNA from 1 species
UGCAAGUCGAGUGCGCAGUUUCCUGUAGCAAUACAGGGGAUGGGCGCACGGCGCACGGGUGCGUAACACGUGGGCAAUCUGCCCUCUAGUGGGGAAUAACCCGCCGAAAGGCGGGCUAAUACCGCAUAACAUUCCCGGGACUUCGGUCUAGGGAUUCAAAGCCCGAAAGGGCGCUGGAGGAGGAGCCCGCGGCCGAUUAGCUAGUUGGCGAGGUAACGGCUCACCAAGGCGAUGAUCGGUAGCUGGUCUGAGAGGACGGCCGGCCACACUGGAACUGAGACACGGUCCAGACUCCUACGGGAGGCAGCAGUGGGGAAUCUUGCGCAAUGGGCGAAAGCCUGACGCAGCGACGCCGCGUGGGGGACGAAGCCCUUCGGGGUGUAAACCCCUUUCGACCCGGACGAAGUCCCGCAAGGGAUCGACGGUACGGGAUGAAGAAGCCCCGGCUAACUACGUGCCAGCAGCCGCGGUAAGACGUAGGGGGCAAGCGUUGCUCGGAAUUACUGGGCGUAAAGAGUCUGUAGGCGGUGCGGCAAGUCGGGAGUGAAAUCUCAGGGCUUAACUCUGAGUCUGCUUUCGAAACUGCCGUGCUGGAGUGCGGGAGAGGUGAGUGGAAUUGCAGGUGUAGCGGUGAAAUGCGUAGAUAUCUGCAGGAACACCAGAGGCGAAGGCGGCUCACUGGACCGCAACUGACGCUGAGAGACGAAAGCUAGGGGAGCAAACAGGAUUAGAUACUCUGGUAGUCCUAGCCCUAAACCAUCAGGACUUGGCGUG